UACGUAGGGACCAAGCGUUGUUCGGAUUUACUGGGCGUAAAGGGCGCGUAGGCGGCGCGGUAAGUCACUUGUGAAAUCUCUGAGCUUAACUCAGAACGGCCAAGUGAUACUGCAGUGCUAGAGUGUGGAAGGGGCAAUCGGAAUUCUUGGUGUAGCGGUGAAAUGCGUAGAUAUCGUCAGGAACGCCGAUGGUGAAGACAGGUGACUGGGCUAGUUCUGACACUGAGGCACGAAAGCGUGGGGAGCGAACGGG
rnacentral:rRNA from 1 species